GCCAUCGGAUGUGCCCAGAUGGGAUUAGCUAGUAGGUGGGGUAACGGCUCACCUAGGCGACGAUCCCUAGCUGGUCUGAGAGGAUGACCAGCCACACUGGAACUGAGACACGGUCCAGACUCCUACGGGAGGCAGCAGUGGGGAAUAUUGCACAAUGGGCGCAAGCCUGAUGCAGCCGUGCCGCGUGUAUGAAGAAGGCCUUCGGGUUGUAAAGUACUUUCAGCGGGGAGGAAGGGAGUAAAGUUAAUACCUUUGCUCAUUGACGUUACCCGCAGAAGAAGCACCGGCUAACUCCGUGCCAGCAGCCGCGGUAAUACGGAGGGUGCAAGCUUAAUCGGAAUUACUGGGCGUAAAGCGCACGCAGGCGGUUUGUUAAGUCAGAUGUGAAAUCCCCGGGCUCAACCUGGGAACUGCAUCUGAUACUGGCAAGCUUGAGUCUCGUAGAGGGGGGUAGAAUUCCGGGUGUAGCGGUGAAAUGCGUAGAGAUCUGGAGGAAUACCGGUGGCGAAGGCGGCCCCCUGGACGAAGACUGACGCUCAGGUGCGAAAGCGUGGGGAGCAAACAGGAUUAGAUACCCUGGUAGUCCACGCCGUAAACGAUGUCGACUUGGAGGUUGUGCCCUUGAGGCGUGGCUUCCGGAGCUAACGCGUUAAGUCGACCGCCUGGGGAGUACGGCCGCAAGGUUAAAACUCGAAUGAAUUGACGGGGGCCCGCACAAGCGGUGGAGCAUGUGGUUUAAUUCGAUGCAACGCGAAGAACCUUACCUGGUCUUGACAUCCACGGAAGUUUUCAGAGAUGAGAAUGUGCCUUCGGGAACCGUGAGACAGGUGCUGCAUGGCUGUCGUCAGCCCGUGUUGUGAAAUGUUGGGUUAAGUCCCGCAACGAGCGCAACCCUUAUCCUUUGUUGCCAGCGGUCCGGCCGGGAACUCAAAGGAGACUGCCAGUGAUAAACUGGAGGAAGGUGGGGAUGACGUCAAGUCAUCAUGCCCCUUACGACCAGGGCUACACACGUGCUACAAUGGCGCAUACAAAGAGAAGCGACCUCGCGAGAGCAAGCGGACCUCAUAAAGUGCGUCGUAGUCCGGAUUGGAGUCUGCAACUCGACUCCAUGAAGACGGAAUCGCUAGUAAUCGUGGAUCAGAAUGCCACGGUGAAUACGUUCCCGGGCCUUGUACACACCGCCCGUCACACCAUGGGAGUGGGUUGCAAAAGAAGUAGGUAGCUUAACCUUCGGGAGGGCGCUUACCACUUUGUGAUUCAUGACUGGGGUGAAGUCGGAACAAGGUAACCGUAGGGGAACCUGCGGUUG
rnacentral:rRNA from 1 species